GGGCUCUUGGUUUGACAGCACAUAUACUUAAAAUUGGGACAAUACAGGAAAGAUCAGCACGGCUCCUGCUCAGGGAUGACACACAAAUUCAUGAAGCCUCCCAUACCAAA
rnacentral:snRNA from 1 species